CUGCGCUCUAGCACCACCCCGGCGAAGGCCGGGGCCCAGUUGGGGACGGUGCAUUGCCGGGUCCUGCCCGUCACCACGACCUUCCCGACUGGACCCCGGCCUUCGCCGGGGUGGUGCGUAUCAGA
rnacentral:miRNA from 1 species